UAACAAGCAGUUUAUAAAAUGACUGAAGUUUAUGUGCAAAGGAGAAAACAACCGACUUCCAACAGUGUAAACUUAAAACUGUAUUUGAAUGCCCUUCAAAAACAAAUAAAAAGCCUUCAUCAAAAGCAAUCUCAAGAUGUAAGCUCUUCGACUUGUACUUUAAAAUUCUUCAUAUCCUCCUGGAAGAUAAAGGAUUUCAAAUUAAAACAUUUAGAGGGAACUGCGUAAAUCGCACUGGUGCUAAAGCUUUCUCCAUGUUUCUCAUUACUCUCAGAGCUGGACUCUGCCUCUGCCUCUCUGCCAGCAUCUGAAAGAUAGGUUUCCAUGUCCUCAUCCUCACAGUAACUGCCUGUUAUUUCCAGUGACUGCACAGGAGAUCUGUCACUGCCAUCAAGUUUCCAGUUAGGCCUGAGAAAACUACACAGAACUGUUGAUGUCAUUACUGAUGGCUGUGAAGCUGUGCAUAAAUGCUGAAGUGUUACAAACUAGUGCAAGUGUAAGUAGAUGGAAGUGCUUGCUAGCGGGAUGCUGCAGAGCAGAGUGGAGUAAGAUAAAGAUGAAAAAGAAAUGGGAAUGAAGAUCAAAUGAUGAGGGUUGCAACAGGAAUGACAGCAGCUGGAGAUCAAAAAGAAGAAAUGAACUGCAAUUGACCAGGAAUAAUAUGGACAGAAGCAAGAACACAGAAAACAACCAGAAGUGAAUUAAAUGCAGAGAAAUCAAAGAAGAAAAACUGUAAGGUACUAUAAAUGAAACUAAAUUCCUAUUUUCCCUUUGUACUACUUGCCUGCCUUGCUAAUUCAGAUUAGCAGGGGUCUUGCAUACAAGUUUUUAAGUCCCUGUUUUGUUGUUGUUGAUUUUUAAUGUAAUAGAAUGGCAGGUUAGUAAUGUUUAACUUAGCUUUUCUAAGGAGUAGAAAGUUCUUCAUUCGUGGUACUAACACAGCUACAGUCCUGCACUGUAGCAUCCAAUUUAGAAAUGGCCCUAGCUUUGAAAAGUCCAUUUGUCUUUGAUUGACUCAGAUUUAUAAGUUAUAUAGAAAGAUAAUUGUCUUAAUUGCUUAUCGUACUUGAGAACAGCUCCGCCUUAAAAACAUUCAUUUGUGAGAAGGCUUACGUAAACACUACAACAACAGCUCUGCUCAUCAUGCAUUCCUAGUGUGCUAUUGUAAUUGAUGAAACAAAAAAAAAAGAAACAAC